UUUCCGUAGGUGAACCUGCGGAAGGAUCAUUACAGAGUUCAUGCCCUCACGGGUGGAUCUCCCACCCUUGAAUAUUUAUACCUUAGUUGCUUUGGCAGGCCGUGGAAACACCAUGGGCUCCGGCUUAUGCGGGCCUGCCAGAGGAAACAAACUCUGUUUUUAGUGAUGUCUGAGUACUAUAUAAUAGUUAAAACUUUCAACAACAGAUCUCUUGGUUCUG
rnacentral:misc_RNA from 1 species